GGGGACCUUCGGGCCUUGCGUAUCAGAUGAGCCUAGGUCGGAUUAGCUAGUUGGUGAGGUAAUGGCUCACCAAGGCGACGAUCCGUAACUGGUCUGAGAGGAUGAUCAGUCACACUGGAACUGAGACACGGUCCAGACUCCUACGGGAGGCAGCAGUGGGGAAUAUUGGACAAUGGGCGAAAGCCUGAUCCAGCCAUGCCGCGUGUGUGAAGAAGGUCUUCGGAUUGUAAAGCACUUUAAGUUGGGAGGAAGGGCAGUAACCUAAUACGUUAUUGUUUUGACGUUACCGACAGAAUAAGCACCGGCUAACUCUGUG
rnacentral:rRNA from 1 species